rnacentral:rRNA from 1 species
AAUAGCUCAAAUUUGAAAUCUGGCGCCUUCGGCGUCCGAGUUGUAAUUUGAAGAAGGUAUCUUUGGUUUUGGCUCUUGUCUAUGUUCCUUGGAACAGGACGUCACAGAGGGUGAGAAUCCCGUGCGAUGAGAUGCCCAAUUCCAUGUAAAGUUCCUUCGACGAGUCGAGUUGUUUGGGAAUGCAGCUCUAAGUGGGUGGUAAAUUCCAUCUAAAGCUAAAUAUUGGCGAGAGACCGAUAGCGAACAAGUACUGUGAAGGAAAGAUGAAAAGAACUUUGAAAAGAGAGUGAAAAAGUACGUGAAAUUGUUGAAAGGGAAGGGCUUGAGGUCAGACUUGGUUUUACCAGGCCAGCAUCAGUUUGGGUGGCAGGAUAAGUGCGUAGGAAAGUGGCUCCACUUCGGUGGAGUGUUAUAGCCUGCGUCGAUACUGCCUGCCUAGACUGAGGACUGCGUCUUUGACUAGGAUGCUGGCGUAAUGAUCUUAAGCC